UUCAGCGCUGCCGGGCGUCACCCGCACGUCACCCGGCGUCACCCGCGCGUCACCCGGCGUCACCCGCGUGCCGCCCCGCCGCCACCCCCCCCGGGCUACGGCAGCGCCCGCAGCGGCUGAUCCCACUGAUGGCGCCAUCGCCAGCAGCAGCAGCAGCGUAGCAACCCAGAAACAACAGGCGGAGCAACAGGCGGUGCCGCCUGUAGCGGGCCCCCCCGCCCACCACCACCCCAGCGGGGUACAGGCGGCCGUAGCGGUGACUCACUGGCGCCGAGGGAGAGCAGGGCCUGGAGCGGGCGCCAUCCCAUCAUGCAGACCAUCAUGGCGGGGAAGAUGGAGAUG